CCGCCGCGGGCAGAGGCACCUGCCGGCCGCUUCGCCUCCCGCGUCCGCUCGGGCCCCGGGCCCCGGGCCCCGGGCCCCCGCCGCACUUCCCCGCGGCCUCCCGGGCGGGUCGCCUGCCCCUUGGCGCGACGGGACGGCCUGACCAGAGCCGUGGACUUGGCCUCGCCUCGCGUAGUGGGCAGCCCAGUGGGCGGUCUCCGGCGUAGCCCUUGCUUCCUGAGGAGUCGGGACUGCGAGGCCGGUAGCCCUGGGCUCGGGCUCGGGCCGAUUGCCUUAUGACUUCUUAUAUAUAAACUCCCUGGGUUUUUCAAGUCUCUCUCAAGAGUAAUGAGAAAAGUCGUUCGUGGUAAGAAGCCCGCCCUGAAGUGUCCUGCAGGGGUGACUACGGUCUCCACCGCCACUCGCAGGGCCUCGGGGGAGAGCGGUCGUCCUAACGGCCAGGCCACCGCCAGCCGCGCACCGGGUUCAGCUGCUGACGCUGGAGCCCAGGGCCCUGUCCCUGACGGCCUCUCUGUGGGUUGAAACUGGUCCUGGUGGUUCAGCCCGAGGGGACGCGCAGGAGCGCGGAAGCCAAGCGGUGGGACCGCCGGCUGUUGGGAACCAGGCCAGAGGAGUCCUGAGACCAGACCGGGGGCCUGCUCAGGGUCAGCGGCCGUGUCCACACAAGUACAGAGCCCUUCCUCAGGGCAGCGAACCUGAAAUCCCCUCCGAGAACUCGCAUGCCCUUAUUUAAAUCCAUAGCUUCUAUUUAAUCUUAGUUGCACCUCUUUGAUUCAAAAAGUAAAUUAAUGUGACAUCAGAAAGGCACUGAAGCUAGUGAAUGUGCUCUUCAGUCUUUACUAUUUCAUUUCCAUAAAAGGAAAUCUUAAUGGAGUGAAUUUUAAGGAAAAUUUUCUGUGAGGAAAAGUGUUUAAAAUAGUUACGUCGAUGUUUCAUGUUUAUCUUAAUGAAAAAAAUGUUUCAAACUGCCUAGAGAAACUCCUGGGCUGCUUAGGUGCUCACAAACGAAGCUUAAACAGUUAUAUAAGGAUUUUUAAAACUGCUGAAGUCUUGUAAUCUACAAAAACUUUAGGAGCGUCUUAUAUUCUGCCAUGAACUUUACUAGGUAGUAAGGGUAGGAAAAUGCUGGAACACUGCCUUGACCUCAGCAAGCAUAGGGUUGUCAACAGGAACUCUGCUCCUCCCACUUCUCCAGGAGGGGGGAAUUGAGGGAUAGAGAUGUCAAGUAACAGUCUUCACAGGCUGAGGAGAAACUUGGGAUUGGAACUGGUAGCCUCCUUGUACUGAACUGAACUCUUGGUGCUGCAACAUGCAUUUUAAAAAGACUCCAGGAAAUGUAUUUCAAUGAUAAUCAUUGCCUCAGAAUGAAGAUACAAAGAUCAAAAUUUGGGCAUCAUUUUUGUAUGCAGUACUAUCUUCAAGAUGCCAGCUUCAUACCAUGUUAGGAACAGCAAGCAGAUGGGGUCUUCACAGGUUCAGGAGAAGCUUGGGAUUGGAACUGGUAGCCUCCUUGUACUGAACUUCACUCAGUGCUGCCACAUGCUUUUGUUAGAGACUCCAGGAAAUGUAUUUCAAUGAUUGUCAUUGCCUCAGGGGACAAAUACUACCAUUUUUUAUGAACAUCCUCAACAGUUCACCUGAUCAGAAAAAUUAACAUUCUACUUUAACAAUUUGUUUAGUGGCCUAGGGAAGCCACUAAAUUUUGCAGCAAAGGCUUUCAAGCCAUGUUCCAUGAAGCAUUCAGGGUUGGCUUACGUGAAAAGCCUUCUGCCUCCUCUGCAGCCAGAAAGGCUUUGCUUUACCAUGUUUUGGUAUCACUGUUUUUAAAAAUGUGUGUGUGUGUAUUUGUAUGUGAGACAGAGAGAGAGGGAAGGGAAAAUAAAUUUCUGUAUGGGAAGAUUCACCCAAGAAAUUUCAUUGCUUGAAGAUGCUUAUGCUAUACAUCAUUAAAGAAAGUAAAUUUUACAAGUUUUCAAAAUAAAAUGGUCAUGACCAUUUUUUUAGAUAUGAAGUAUUGGGACCUCAAUCUCCUUUUUGUGAAUGUAAAGUGAACCCAGAAAUUUUUCCAAGGAAGAUUUGGACAUAUCUCAGAUAUUUCCAUUUUAUUUGUUUGUUUUGAUACCAGGGAUGGAACUCCUGCACUCAAUCACUGAGCCACAUCCCCAGCCCUAUUUUUUUUUUUUUGUAUUUUAUUUAGAGAUGAGGUCUCACUGAGUUAUUUAGUGCCUCGCUGUUGCUGAGGCUCAAUCCUUUGAACUCGCAAUCCUCCUGUCUCAGCUUCCUGAGCUGCUGGGAUUACAGGCAUGCGCCACUGCACCCAGCUUUCCAUAGUUCUUAAGCAGGUAGACAAGCUGUCUAUUAAUGAAUGUGUACUGGUCGCAUGUCUUAACGUUCAUAAAAGGAUGUCAAACCUACUUACUGUACCUAAGUGCUGCAAUUUGUGUUGUAUCCUUAAUGGACAAUGUAAAAUAUUUCUACUUCUCAGAGAAUGUACAUGGGAAUCUUUAUAAUUCACUACUCCUCAGAAAGCUCAAUAACAUUUAUGGAGAACUGUCUGAAUAGGUACAUAGCCAUUUUCUCCUCUAGUUCAGGGUCAGCAAAUGCAUGACACUGCUCUUGCUACUAUACCUUCAAAGCCCCUGGCCAACUUUAAUCCAUAACCCUUCCUUGGGCUGAGCCUAGAAUCUUGCUCAAACAUCACUCUUUCCAACCAGAGCUUCAGGCAGCCAUUGGCACCUCAUCAGCAUUGGCAUGCAGCAUGAAAUCCAUUUGCUAUUUCACCUCUAGAUACUCUUAAAAGCCAAACUGUCAUAAAGCCAUGCACUAGAAAUUUUGUUUCCUCCUAAGAGUCUUUCCUAGAAUCAUGCUUUGGACUUAUGUCAUCAGCCUACAUUAAAAUCAUAAGAAGAAGAACUCUUAGAAAUGCACCAUAUUUACUAUAGGAGGGUUCUUCUCUUAACAUCUGAAGGGCAAAGGUUAAGUAGCCUACCUAGGUUCACACAGUAAGGGACAGAGCUAGGGAUUGAGCCAGACUGCCUUUCCUCCCUGCUCCCUGUCUUGGUGCCUGCCCAGCUGCCUCCGACCCUGCCUUCCUCCUGCACCUGCAUGUUCAGGCCUUCACUUUGUCUCCAGGUGUUGAGGUGCCCCUUUUUUUCUCUGCAUUUAUUGAUUCCAUUUCUGCUCUUCCUCUCCUUUCCUGCUGCUUCCUAUCCUUCCUCAUAAGCUUUUUCCAGAUAAACUCUCCCUGCAUUUAUUCAUCAACCCACGACAGUCUGACAACUGCUCCAAUCAUUUUCCUGAAAUUACUUUACUGGAAGUCACUGAUGACCUCCCAGCUGCCAGAUCUGAUGACAUCUUCACUCUUCAUCUUGGCCCAUCUCAGCAAUUUGACAAUGCUGAUGGUUCCUUCCUUCUUAAAGACAUCUCUGCCUCUGUCCUCAAUGACAGAUUGCUCUCCAGUCUCUCCUCUUAUCUCUCUAACCACUUCUUGAUUUUCCUCACUGGAUCCUCUUCUUCCCAUCUAACAUAGUACUCUCCAGGGACCUGUUCUUGCCCCUCUGUUCAUGGGACAGACAAGCUUAUUUGUUGUCAGCUUCUCACUCUGAAGGUGACUCCUAAAUCUGCAGCGUUGGUCUUAUCUCUUCUCUGAUUGUCAGAUGAUGCUACAUUUAUCUCUCUUACUAGGGUAUAAACCAUGCAAGGACUGGGCUCUAACCUCAUUAUUUUAAAAAAUCUCUUUAUCUUUAAUAUUAUAGUACAGGUUCUGGACAUAGUCUAUGCUUAGUAUCUCUUUUAAAACAGACUUUCUUGCAUUCUUCCAUCUGUAUUAUAGUGACCAUCCAAUGCCAUGUAAAAGUCUCCAUUUAUCCACAAGCAUCAGUCAUCUGUACCUGGCAUUGCUCUAGGCACAACAUUUUCUUUGGAUUUUUGUAAUAUUCUAAAAUCAAUAUACAUUUAAUUCAACCUUAUAAUCUUUCAAGCAGCAUCUAUAAUCCUAUAUUUUAUUUACUGUAAGAUGCACUUUUCUCAUAUUUUGAUAUCUGAAAUCAACAUGUGUUGUACAAGAAGGUAAUUGUCAUAGUCUAUUUGGCAGUAUUUUUAAUAGUAAAUAAAAUAAUAGAAGAACUUAUAA